CGUGCGCUGCCAGCAUCAGCAUUGCGCUCGUUUCUUUAUGGCAUUAUAAUGCCUUCAUACUUAAUACGCGACACCAGAGGAAGUGAAAUGGCAUAUGGGGAAUUGCUAUUGCGAUUUAAAUUUGGCAGGGUCGUAACUCGUAAGACACAGGUAAUUCAUUUGCAAAUAGACUUUGCUUUUCCUUUUGAAAUUUGGCAGACAUUGUACGUUCGCGUAAAUGCAAAUGAAAACGGUUUGCAUUUGCGUUUGAAUUAUGUCACAAUUUUGACACGAACAAAUAGAAAACGCAUUUGCAAAUGCAGUUUGCAAUUCCUUUUUAAUAUAGUCCGCAAUAUAACUCCAUAGGCUUUAGCUACUUUACAUUGAAAAGAUUUGGCAGCACUGAUUGAUGGUCCAGUUAUAUGUAAACAGCGGUGGAGACACGAAGUCGUGUGGAAGUUGCAGGCUGCUGGAGAAUAAUCACACGCAUUAACAGCUUUACCUGCGACCAGCAGAAGUACACAGAAAUAUAUGAUAUGAUUUGCCUGGGCAGUACACACACCUUAUGAAGGGAAGAAAAGCUACCCAGGCACCCAAACUCCAUCAGUAGUAAGCGUUUAAAUUCGACCUGAGUAUUUAUAUUAUGUUGUUAUUAACAAUUGUGUAUUAUUAUGUAUAUGCUUAAUACUGUUAUAAUGUAACUCUGUAACCGUUUGGGUUACGUAUUUCGUGGGUGUUUUCGGGGCUAUAACUUUAAUAAUACGGAAUAUAUAAAACCCUCGGACACAGACGAGUUCUUUCACCAGCUUUAUUCCGCUGACUUCCCCCUCUUCUUUUCUCUCCUUCAACCUAAAAGUCCCAUAAACCACAGGCACUUAAAACAUAACAAAAUAAGGGACUUUUUAUUUUGUAACUCUUACAAUAACAAUCACGUACAGUUAAAGUUACAUUUAAGUUAGCAUUGCAACUUGUUUUCUAACAGUAUACUCUGUAUUCACAUUGCCAUAAUGUAUAAUGAUGGCAGAUUUAGUCCUUUAUCUAACGUUACUACAUUGCAUAUUUGCCACAGACUCAUUUACUUUUUUGUGGUAUGUUUUUACUUAUGGUAUGAUUUACUUAUUCUGACAGUUUGAUGUUUGUCCAAAUAUACUACUAUACUAUACUACAACUUCCUCCAAUUUCUAUUUUUGACCCUGUGUAAAUGUUUUCAACACCACUUGAAACUGUUUUCUAUUUCUCCAGGAUUAAAAGUUUGCUUUAUAAGAAUUUGAUGAAUGUUUUGUAUGGAGAUGUACUUAUUAUUUACUUUAUUAUAUUCAAACAUUUCUUUAAAGCGUAUACUGUAAUUCUGUACUGUAAAGAAGUUAAUCAUUGUGUAUUUCGAGUGUACUUUUACAAAUUAUGGUGAUUGUGUUCAUAUGAUUAAUGUUUACCUAAAUAAAAUUUUG